AGCUUCGCUGCGGCCUGGCGCGUGCGAGAGUUGGUGCCCGGACCACCCGGGCUACUCGGCGGCAGAUCUUCUCAUAUUUUGGAUUCUGGCUCUAUUAUAAUGAAUGACACUUCGACAUUAGAUGUCAUUGGUCGACGAGUUGAAGUUAAUGGAGAACAUGCAACAGUGCGUUUUUCUGGUGUUGUCCCCCCUGUGGCAGGACUCUGGCUGGGAGUGGAAUGGGACAAUCCUGCGCGAGGAAAGCACGAUGGAAGCCACGAAGGGACUGUGUAUUUUAAAUGCAGGCACCCAACAGGAGGAUCCUUUAUUCGUCCAAACAAAGUAAAUUUUGGAGUGGACUUUCUCACUGCAGUUAAGAAUCGCUACAUGUUAGAAGAUGGACCAGAGGAAGAUGGAAAAGACCAAAUUGUUAUAAUUGGAAAUAAACCUGUGGAAACUAUUGGUUUUGACUCUGUCAUAAAACAGCAAAGUCAGCUGAACAGGUUGCAAGAAAUUUCUCUGAGGAGCUGCGUGGUGAAUGGUGCCGGCGACAAAGGAGCAAUUGCCAAAGCAUGUCCUAAUGUCAGAAAGGCAGAUUUGUCACGCAACCUGUUGUCUUCAUGGGACGAAGUCCUGGGUAUUGCUGAUCAGCUUGCACACCUGGAGGUUCUCAAUCUCAGUGAGAAUAAACUAAACUUUCCCUCGGGUUCACCAUCUCUAACCGGAAAGUUUCCUGCACUGAAGGUUUUAGUCCUUAACCGGACAGGAAUAACGUGGGCCGAGGUGCUGCAGUGCGCCCCCGGGUGGCCGGUCCUGGAGGAGCUGUACCUCGAGUCUAACAAUCUCUCCAUUUCAGAAAGGCCAGUGGGUGUUCUACAGACAGUCAAGUUAUUAGACCUUUCCUCGAAUCCAUUAAUUGAUGAAAAUCAGCUGUUCCGAAUAGCAUAUUUGCCCAGAUUAGAACAACUAAUCCUUUCUGACGUUGGAAUUUCUUCCAUACAUUUUCCGGAUGCGGGAACUGGGUGCAAAACAUCAAUGUUUCCUUCCUUGCAGUACCUUGUAGUCAAUGACAAUCAGAUCUCACAAUGGUCAUUUAUCAACGAGCUGGAUAAGUUACAGAGUCUGCACGCUCUGUCCUGCCUAAGAAACCCCCUGACUGAAGGAGACAGCGGGGGAGCUCAGACCACACGUCAGUUCAUUAUCGCCAAAAUCAGUCAGCUGAAGACCCUGAACAAAUGUGAGAUUCUCUCAGAGGAAAGGCGUGGGGCUGAGCUUGACUACCGAAAAGCAUUUGGAAAUGAAUGGAAAAAGGCUGGCGGACAUCAGGAUCCUGACAAAAACAGACCAAAUGAAGAAUUCCUUGCAGCCCAUCCCAGAUACCACUCGCUCUGCCUGAAGUAUGGUGCACCCGAAGACGGGGAACUCCAAACACAGCAGCCGUUUCUGCUCAAAAACCAGCUGCUAACACUGCAGAUAAAAUAUCCUAAUCAAGUUGAUCAGAAAGUCACAGAAAAACAACUGCCAGACUCCAUGACAGUUCAGAAGGUGAAGGGACUGCUGUCACGUCUUCUCAAAGUUCCUGUGUCAGAACUUCUGUUGUCCUACGAAAGUCCCAAAAUGCCUGGCAGAGAGAUUGAGCUAGAAAAUGACCAGCAGUCAUUACAGUUCUAUUCUGUGGAAAAUGGAGAUUGCCUGUUAGUGCGAUGGUAACAGCCAACUCAUCAAGUUCAGAGACUCUGCUGUUCAUCACGAUGGGCUCCCUGGGAAGGAAAGACUUACCGAACAGUUCCGUCAAACAGAGAGGCUUUACAACUUGCCCUAAGUAGAGAAAAGGCGGUGGUUUUCACUGGGAAGAGACCAUUUCUGGGCAUGUGUGUAACAGUAAAAAGUGCCAACCUAGAGCCAUCCUGAAAGACCCACGGAAUCUGUUGCCAGCCUGCAGGCGCUCCUCAGACGCCCCCUCGCACAGCUGGGUCACGCUCCGGGCCCAGCCGCUUCGCACUGACAGGGGUCCCCACACGCCUCCUUCAGCCCCCACAGCCGGGCCAGCUCCUGCGGGGAGUACUGCGGGGAGGACAGCAUGCCCGGCUCGCACGCUUUCUCACACAGCCACAGCCCGUCCUGCGGAGAAACAGAACAGACGUGAACUUGGGAAUCGCGGAACUGAGCUGGAAGACCAGAACACGGACACUGGCACAGAGGCCUUCAAAGCCACCUGUGUGGCUGCCAGCAGCAGAGGGAAUUCUGUGACCAGAAAGCCUGGGACGUGCCAACGGAAGUUUUCCCAGUGGCUGAGAAAAGGUGGCUGUAAACCUCCGUGAGUGACAGCAGCUGUUCUGAUGGAAUCUUCCAGUAUUCUGGGGACAGCAGCAAGCACUUUAUAAAUACUGGUGCAUUCUCCUAAAAGCCUGAAAUAGGAAUCCUUUCCUUUGUACAACCGAGAAGCUGAGCGUGUGGUGAGGGUAAUAAAGGGCAGUGGGUACUGAUCAGGUGAACGGGAAGGACUGAGUCUUCACCACCAGCGCCUUCCCGGCGAUACAGCAGAAGACAGAGCCGGAGAACCACCUGCGGCUUUACGUCUAAGAACGUAAAGAUGCUGGAUAGAAUCAGGCUGAGAGCGUGGGUGAACUGGUGGCAGAAGAAAUGGAGCUGGAGCCCGAAGGCUCUGCUGGGUUUUAUGGGCUGCGGGUCUCUGGGCACCACACAGCCAGGACCCACAGAGAGGGAGGGAAGGAGAAAGUGUGUGUGUAAUUUAGAAAAGAAAACCCGGGUCUCAGCCUAGAUGCUGGGUGGGACAGCACGCAGGUGGGUCUGCGGCACGAGUCACGGUCGUCGGUAAUGCAGUCAAGUAGAGGGCGAUGCCUUCUUCCUAAGAAUGUGUUGUAAAUACCGACCUCCGUUUCCGCAGAACGUGAGGUCACACACACCAGCCUCUCAACGCACGAAGAAACAAGGUCCAUCAGCCACAUCCAACUACAGAAUCGGGCCCACAGAUCUCACAAUGAGCAGACACAGAACAUUUUCAGUGUUCAGGGAGUCAAAGAUUGGACUUUGAUAUGACAUGACCCCUGCAGCAAGGGUGCCCUGCUCUGGGCCCCAUGAAGAGGUCCUGUCCGGCAGGCCCUUCUGCCCCCCACCUUCUGUGGCCAAAGUGGAAGCUGCAAGAAUCCAAAAGUCAACAGAAAUCUUUGAGGCAAAGCCCAGUUCUAUACCUGCUCUCUUCUCAGGCUGUUUCCAUUCUGGUCUCUGCAAGUUCAUUUCUUUUCCUGGCUCAGUGUUCAGGAUAUUUUAAAAGAUGCCGUACAGGGCUCGAACGCAUGAGCUCCAGAUCAAGAGUCGCAUGUUCUACCAACUGAGCCAGCUAGGCACCUGAUUCCUUAAGUUUUAAAGCCGCAAGGAAUUUCUGACCACAAUGUAUAAAAACCUAAUUCUUCUCUGUGGGUAGGAAAGAUUCCAUCCAAACCCAAAGGAAAUGUUUGGAACUUAGAAAAAUACUGUAUGUGAAUGAACCUACAUGGAUUACUGUGCAUUAACUUGUGGGAUCAGAGCUGCGCCCCUUCAGUUCACAGGACCCUCGCCUCCCAAGCACCCCAGGGCCAGCCCCCCUCAGGCACACUUACCUGGUACCGCGAAGGCCCUAUGGCGGCCAUCCAGAUGCCCAUGCUUACGUCUUCACCCUGUACGUGCCCAGAAAGUGGAAAGGCAAAAGUUUAAAUGCUGUAUUAUCUUUCAAUGGGACGCCACACCUUCCAGAAUCCUCUCGUCUGUUCUCUCGUUCUACCGGGAAAUGCCACUCCUGCACACAGUGAAAGCCAGCGGCCAUGAACUGCACACCGCAGCGAGAAGACUGGACCCAGUACAGCGGCCAGCCUGCCCUGCUUGUGGGCCUUAACCCUCCAGCAUGACCAUGCGAAGGACACUGUGGAUCCCAUAGCUGGGCAUAGCUUGUUCAUUGCCAUGGUCACUGGAAUCGAGAAAAAGUAAGCGCUUGCUUUAUAGUCUUCCUUCUUAGGAAUGUCAAGCUUUCCAUUUCUCCAGGGACUGUAUUUAUAAAAUAUAGUCUGAAAACCUAAGUAGGCUCCAGAAAAGGUUUAGGAAUAGAACGUCGAGCCAGGAUCGGACAGCAAGGACUCGGUCCCCCAGGGGGAGUCCCUCACAGAGGGAACCCCACGUUCUCCCGGGGCCCGCCGGCUCUGCACCAGGCCUGGCUGGGGACUACGCUCUUAGGGCAGAAAUCCCGAGUCACCUGGUAGGUCUUCAGUCUGCCCGAGUUGCUGGCCAGCCAGUGGACGAUGUCCCUGGAGAUCACGUACCCCGAGCCGCAGGCAAAGGCCGGGUAGGCGGGGCUGGGGUACUCCAGCUCCUGCCACUUGCCGGUUCGGUCAACCGCCCAGUUCAGCCUGAAACUGAGAUUCAAAACAGGUUGGUUUCUUCGUAGCGGCUUGACCCCUGUCCUACAGCGAGGAGGUGGCACCCUUCAGUCUAAGGAAAGGAAUUCUCUAGCUCAGCACGUGUGUCGCAUAGAAGACUUGACUAUCAAGGUUACUUACGCUUGUGGGUUUCUGCAAGCUGUACACGUACGCUAAAAAUAACCCUCCUCCGUCAGGACCGUAGUCCUGACGCAGCAGCAGUUUCAGGUAUGUGUCCCACGUUUAUUCUAGCCACUUCUCUCGGGGCCAUCAGAAUAAAAGCCGUAUUGUUUCCCUCACUACAUGAGUCUGAGGUUUCUCAUUUUAAAGAUUUUCCCUUGAACGGCUGGCGAACCACAGUAGCCCAGGAGGGAGCUCCCAGCUCAGCCACCUCUUGCUUGGGACAAACAGCUGGUGUAUUUCAUUAGCCACUAAGCCCAUUCGAUCAGGCCCCUGCCGGCCACGGGGCUCACCAGCUUGCACUUACUUUCCCCACCAGAAGUUAGGCCCGUCCAGGUGCUUGCGAGCAAUUCUGUCAAACACAGCUUCCAAGUCUAUGUAACAGUCGUCGUCCGUUUUUAGCAACAAAUCAAAGCUGGUUGUUUCCACAGUCCUGUUGGCAAAAGGGAACAGCAAAGUCAGUGCGUCCGUGCAAGGCGACAGAGCGAGGCCACGGCGGGGACUCUGCCGGCCCCGAGCUGCCUGUGUCCCUCCUCAGCUGCUUGCUCCUUCAAGGCUGAGAGCAGUGGCUGGGAACGCUGCUGCCAGCCGCAGUCCUGCUGCUGUCACUGAGGGGCGUGACCCAGAGAAGUACCAGGCUGACUUUAAAAAGUCACAUGCGUGCUCUCAGACAUAAACAUAUAAAAGGAACAAAAGAAAAAACACAAUAAAAAAAAAAAGAUGGCUGCAGUGGAACACAUGUCCAACGACACGUCGCUGGUCUUGCUCCAGUCGGGCCGCCAGAUCCAUCCAGUGUCUGAACCUCAUGAUGUGUGCUGGUGACAGGGGCCGGGGGGACAGGUGCUGUAUGAGGCCCCGCCCACAGACUGCUGCUGUACAAGAUGCCCUGCUCGAUGCCACUAUUUAUACUGCGCUCACAUACUGGAUGGUUUUUAUAAAACAGUUAUGAUGCUGAAAUGUAUUUCCCCUUGGAAAUGAUUUCCAGCAAUUAAACUAUUAUAAAUGACCUCUAGGAGGCCCGGGAGGGCAACUUCAUUUACCGAGACAUGUACGGGCAAGUAGAGAUAAAACGGACUUCUUCGUCUCUCCCUGCCAAUCCCAAUGCAGUUCUGAUUAAAACAAGACAAAACCCCCAGAGUCUUGCUAGAAAACCAGUCAAAUGACAAAAAUCUGAAUAAAAGAAAUCUGGAGAAAGUUUCAUGAAGUCCAAGAAUGGUGAAUCUAACCACAGGUCCACACCACACUGUAGAACCCUGUGCUUCUAAGGUUUAUUUCUAAUUAGCCGCACGGGCACACAUACUAUUGAUUUACAAAUUAGGAGGACCUUUUUUUUGAUAAAGGACACUGUGGUCACUGAAGAGGGCAGCCUUCAU